GCCCCUGCCUAGCUGUCUUGAUCACUGAGGGACCCUGCUGUGCCCAGCAGGUCUGCUGGAAUCCACAGGUCCUACCUUCUCUGGCCUGCCUGCAUUGCCAUCACCUAUGCCCUGCUUGUGAUAACACUUGCCCUCCAUGAUACUGUGAUGUCAUUGGUAAGACUAGCCCCACUCCUUCACUCCCAGAAGCCUCUGGGGUACCUGCCUCCUUUUCCUCUACAGACACCCAGUGUCCAGCCUGCAAAAUCUGGCCCCACCUCUCACCAGCCUUACCUGGGACCAUCUCCUGGGGAGGAUCAGCAGGAGCAGCCAGUGAAGAUUCCAGAAGAUUUCAACACAGCAUAAUCAAUGCAGCAACAGAGCAGCAGCAGCUGACCCAGGUGAAGAGGAAAAGGGCACGGGGGAUCAGGGAGGCGAGUGUCUGGGGAGGCUGCCCAGAAGAGGCAACUGGGAGGGACAUCACUGGAGUGGGGAGCAAGUUUUAUGCACCUCCUGUCUGCCGCCUCCCUACCAAACAUCUACACAGGACUGAACAGAAAGGAUGAUCGAUAAACACUUAACUGAUUUGUGAAGGAGAAAUAGUCCAAAGAGUUUCCCCAGAUCUCCUUGAAAACACCACACCUAUCAAUGACGGAAAACCACAGCCAGUUGGAGCUUCUAACAGAGAAUUAGAGCGAAGUAACUCACUGAAGAAAGGCAAGUCAUGCAGAAAAUGCCAAUAUCAAUUUCCUAAACAAGUCAUAACUUAAAUGCCACACACCCAGUUCCUGGCCCCAAGCUUUAAAGGGGAGAAGCAAUCAAAGAAACUGAUUGAGCAGAGAACAUUAUCAAUUAAUGAGAGAAGGGGAAAAAA